UGUGGGAGCGAGCCUGCUCGCGAUAGCGGUGGGUCAGUCAGGAAUGUUGUCGACUGAUCCACCGCUAUCGCGAGCAGGCUCGCUCCCACA
rnacentral:misc_RNA from 1 species